GGGCAUGCAGCUCAGUGGGAGAGCACCUGCUUAGCAUGCAGGUGGCCCUGGGUUUGACCCCUGGCACCA
rnacentral:tRNA from 1 species